rnacentral:rRNA from 1 species
AGUAACGCGUGGGUAACCUGCCUCAGUACAGGGGAUAACAGUUAGAAAUGAACUGCUAAUACCGCAUAAGCGCACAGUGACUGCAUGGCACAGUGUGAAAAACUCCGGUGGUAUGAGAUGGACCCGCGUCUGAUUAGCUAGUUGGUGGGGUAACGGCCUACCAAGGCGACGAUCAGUAGCCGGCCUGAGAGGGUGAACGGCCACAUUGGGACUGAGACACGGCCCAA